UGAAGAAAACAUCUGUGAGUGUUUAGGGCGUGUUGGGCGGUUGGAAACAACGUCAUAGCGACGCGUUACCGCCACUAAACGGUGUCUGAAACAGACGUCGCCUCGCAGGAGUGAACUCUGAACUCAGCACUGCCCCCUAG